UACGGAGGGUGCAAACGUUGCUCGGAAUCAUUGGGCGUAAAGCGCACGUAGGCGGCUUGUUAAGUCGGGUGUGAAAUCCCUGGGCUCAACCCAGGAAGUGUACUCGAAACUGGCGAGCUUGAAUAUGGAAGAGGGUCGCGGAAUUCCCGGUGUAGAGGUGAAAUUCGUAGAUAUCGGGAGGAACACCAGUGGCGAAGGCGGCGACCUGGGCCAAUAUUGACGCUGAGGUGCGAAAGCGUGGGGAGCAAACAGG
rnacentral:rRNA from 1 species